CUGGGUAGUGGUUCCAUGUCUGGAGUUGAAGAAAGAGCUAGUUUCCUCAGAAUCACAUAGUUCCCCACAUAAACUGAGAACUCGCAGAAAGAGAGAAGAGAAGAAUGUAAACUCAGGAGGAACCAAGAAGAAUUCAUUACAUUAUGAAACCUGGCCAACCAAGAGGAAACCUUGGUGGAGAGUCCAGCAUAGGCCCAGAAUCUUGCAAUCCACAUCCAGUUCCAGAAACUGAAUUCCAAGAAGCUACACUGAGGAUAAUUCAGCUCUGAUGUUGUGAUUACUGUGAUGUUCUUUCAUUCAUACACUGAGCCACUGCCUCUGAUUUCAAGAACCUGAAGACGCCCUCAGAUCGGUCUUCCCAUUUUAUUAAUCCUGGGUUCUUGUCUGGGUUCAAGAGGAUGUCGCGGAU